GUACUUGCGUCGGCGGUAUGUAUUUGAAAACUGCAACGGUACAGAGACGAUUAACAUGGCACUUGGGCAAGGCUGACACGCAGAAUCGUGAAGUACUCUGCUUACGA